rnacentral:rRNA from 1 species
AGCGGCGGAUGGGUGAGUAACACGUGGGGAACCUGCCCCUAAGUCUGGGAUACCAUUUGGAAACAGGUGCUAAUACCGGAUAAUAAAGCAGAUCGCAUGAUCAGCUUUUGAAAGGCGGUGUAAGCUGUCGCAAAGGGAUGGCCCCGCGGUGCAUUAGCUAGUUGGUAAGGUAACGGCUUACCAAGGCGACGAUGCAUAGCCGAGUUGAGAGACUGAUCGGCCACAUUGUGACUGAGACACGGCCCAAACUCCUACGGGAGGCAGCAGUAGGGAAUCUUCCACAAUGGACGCAAGUCUGAUGGAGCAACGCCGCGUGAGUGAAGAAGGUUUUCGGAUCGUAAAGCUCUGUUGCUGGUGAAGAAGGAUAGAGGUAGUAACUGGCCUUUAUUUGACGGUAAUCAACCAGAAAGUCACGGCUAACUACGUGCCAGCAGCCGCGGUAAUACGUAGGUGGCAAGCGUUGUCCGGAUUUAUUGGGCGUAAAGCGAGCGCAGGCGGAAAAAUAAGUCUAAUGUGAAAGCCCUCGGCUUAACCGAGGAACUGCAUCGGAAACUGUUUUUCUUGAGUGCAGAAGAGGAGAGUGGAACUCCAUGUGUAGCGGUGGAAUGCGUAGAUAUAUGGAAGAACACCAGUGGCGAAGGCGGCUCUCUGGUCUGCAACUGACGCUGAGGCUCGAAAGCAUGGGUAGCGAACAGGAUUAGAUACCCUGGUAGUCCAUGCCGUAAACGAUGAGUGCUAAGUGU